rnacentral:rRNA from 1 species
AGAGUUUGAUUAUGGCUCAGGAUGAACGCUGGCGGCGUGCUUAACACAUGCAAGUCGAGCGAAAAUAAUUGAGAGCUUGCUUUUAAUUAUUUUAGCGGCGGACGGGUGAGUAACGUGUGGGCAACCUGCCUUUUACUGGGGAAUAAUCACUGGAAACGGUGACUAAUACCGCAUAAUAUUCUUAGGAGGCAUCUUCUGAGAAGGAAAGGAGAAAUUCGGUAAAAGAUGGGCCCGCAUCUGAUUAGCUAGUUGGUGAGAUAACAGCCCACCAAGGCGACGAUCAGUAGCCGACCUGAGAGGGUGACCGGCCACAUUGGGACUGAGACACGGCCCAAACUCCUACGGGAGGCAGCAGUGGGGAAUAUUGCACAAUGGGGGAAACCCUGAUGCAGCAACGCCGCGUGAAGGAAGACGGUUUUCGGAUUGUAAACUUCUAUCAAUAGGGAAGAAAGAAAUGACGGUACCUAAAUAAGAAGCCCCGGCUAACUACGUGCCAGCAGCCGCGGUAAUACGUAGGGGGCAAGCGUUAUCCGGAAUUACUGGGUGUAAAGGGAGAGUANGCGGCAAGGUAAGCGAUAUGUGAAAGCCUUAGGCUUAACCUGAGGAUUGCAUAACGAACUAUCUAGCUAGAGUACAGGAGAGGAAAGCGGAAUUCCUAGUGUAGCGGUGAAAUGCGUA